CCUACGGGAGGCAGCAGUGAGGAAUAUUGGUCAAUGGACGCAAGUCUGAACCAGCCAUGCCGCGUGCAGGAAGACGGCUCUAUGAGUUGUAAACUGCUUUUGUACGAGGGUAAACGCAGAUACGCGUAUCUGUCUGAAAGUAUCGUACGAAUAAGGAUCGGCUAACUCCGUGCCAGCAGCCGCGGUAAUACGGAGGAUUCAAGCGUUAUCCGGAUUUAUUGGGUUUAAAGGGUGCGUAGGCGGUCGGAUAAGUUAGAGGUGAAAUCCCGGGGCUCAACUUCGGAAUUGCCUCUGAUACUGUUCGUCUAGAGAGUAGUAGCGGUAGGCGGAAUGUAUGGUGUAGCGGUGAAAUGCUUAGAGAUCAUACAGAACACCGAUUGCGAAGGCAGCUUACCAAGCUACUUCUGACGUUGAGGCACGAAAGCGUGGGGAGCAAACAGGAUUAGAUACCCGAGUAGUC
rnacentral:rRNA from 1 species